rnacentral:rRNA from 2 species
AGAUGGUGAACUAUGCCUGAAUAGGGCGAAGCCAGGGGAAACCCUGGUGGAAGCCCGCAGCGAUUCUGACGUGCAAAUCGAUCGUCAAAUUUGGGUAUAGGGGCGAAAGACUAAUCGAACCAUCUAGUAGCUGGUUCCCUCCGAAGUUUCCCUCAGGAUAGCUGGAGCCCGGUGGCAGUUUUAUCAGGUAAAGCGAAUGAUUAGAGGUCUUGGGGUCGAAACGACCUCAACCUAUUCUCAAACUUUAAAUGGGUAAGAAGUCCGGCUUGCUCGGUUGAAGUCGGACGCGGAAUGCCGGGGCUCCUAGUGGGCCAUUUUUGGUAAGCAGAACUGGCGAUGUGGGAUGAACCGAAAGCCGGGUUAAGGUGCCCGAAUCGACGCUCAGCA